rnacentral:rRNA from 1 species
UCCCAGCGGUCCAAGUCGCAGCCACGUUUAUUGGGUCUAAAACAUCCGUAGCUUGUUUCGUAAGUCUCCUGUGAAAUCUGGCCUCUUAAGGGUCGGGCGUGCAUGAGAUACUGCGAGACUAGAGACCGGGAGGCGUAAAGAGUACGAAUAGAGUAGCGGUAAAAUGCGUUGAUCCUAUUCGGACUAACAAUCGCGAAGGCACUUUACGAGAACGGAUCUGACAGUGAGGGAUGAAGGCUAGGGGCGCAAAGUG